rnacentral:lncRNA from 1 species
CUCCUGUAGUAACGCAUGGGCAAUUAUCUUUUCUUUUUACCGAUCACAUGGAGAUAAAUACUGCAGGAUCAAGUCGGGAUUCAUGGCAAGGGAUUGAUGAGUUUUUAUCAAAAGCAGUUUGCUGCGCACUGAAGUGUGACAGAAAAGGUGUGCUACUGUUUCCACAUCUCCUUUUGCGAAUCACUAAUGUUUUUCCCAAGUGUUUUCUUCCUUUUGUAAUGACCCAGAAAUAGUUUCGACGUUGGAGUCAGUUUCUUAGAUGUCUUCAUUUUUUUAGGGUUCCUUCGAUGUCUUCAUUGUUCUUAUCGGGAAGUUUGAAGUGAAAUUGAGGAAAUUUUCCCAAGUCCCCGUUUUGCAUAGGCCCUUAUUAGUGGUGUGUGUGUAUGGGCACAUGAGUGGUGUGCUAUUUUUAUUUUUAUGUGAAAUAUGUGUUUCUCAUUUUAGUAGUCAUUCAAGUGUGAGUUAUGUGUAUCAACAUGUAAUUGAGUGCCGGAACUUUCAUUAUACCCUGUGAAGGCCAUUUACAUGUUUACAUAAGCAUUUUGGUUAGCAG